rnacentral:rRNA from 1 species
UACAGAGGUCUCAAGCGUUGUUCGGGAUUCAUUGGGCGUAAAGGGUGCGUAGGCGGCGCGGUAAGUCGGGUGUGAAAUCUCGGGGCUUAACUCCGAAACUGCAUUCGAUACUGCCGUGCUUGAGGACUGGAGAGGAGACUGGAAUUUACGGUGUAGCGGUGAAAUGCGUAGAUAUCGUAAGGAAGACCAGUGGCGAAGGCGGGUCUCUGGACAGUUCCUGACGCUGAGGCACGAAGGCCAGGGGAGCAAACGGG